rnacentral:rRNA from 1 species
GUGUCAGCAGCCGCGGUAAAACGUAGGAGGCGAACGUUAUCCGGAUUUACUGGGCGUAAAGAGCGCGAAGGCGGUCUUGCAAGUCGGGCGUGAAAUCUCCCGGCUCAACUGGGAGGGGUCGUUCGAUACUGCAGGACUUGAGGACGGGAGAGGGGAGUGGAAUUCCCGGUGUAGCGGUGGAAUGCGCAGAGAUCGGGAGGAACACCAGUGGCGAAGGCGGCUCCCUGGCCCGGUCCUGACGCUCGAGCGCGAAAGCGUGGGGAGCGAACGGGAUUAGAGACCCCGGUAGUCCACGCCGUAAACGAUGGGUGCUAGGUGUUGGUGGUGUCGAUCCCAGCAGUGCCGAAGCUAACGCGAUAAGCACCCCGCCUGGGGACUACGGCCGCAAGGCUAAAACUCAAAGGAAUUGACGGGG